AUACUGCUGUGGGUGUACAUGGACUUCUGAAGCAUCAGUGUGAUUUACCACCUGUGUGAAAGCAACAUCUCCAGCCAGAAAUAAUCAUCCAAUUCCUGAGCAGCAUGAUACCAACACACAAUAGGGGAGACAAGCGCAUUUUCAAAAAAGCAAUCUCUAGUUAGAAUAACCUUUGGUUUUGAAAGGUUAGAAUAUUUGUGGUUGGAUGGCCAUAGGUGGCAGUGACAGUCAGGGAUGGUCAGCAUACACUUAAGUGAAAAAUAAAGUCUUUCAUGCGUACUGAAAACUAACCAUGGAUACUGGAGGCUAAUAGAACCAAGCAUGGACACUGGUAAA